UACGAAGGGGGCUAGCGUUGUUCGGAAUUACUGGGCGUAAAGCGCACGUAGGCGGCUUAGCAAGUCGGAUGUGAAAUCCCUCGGCUCAACCAAGGAAGUGCAUCCGAAACUGCUGAGCUUGAGUACGAAAGAGGAUCGCGGAAUUCCCGGUGUAGAGGUGAAAUUCGUAGAUAUCGGGAGGAACACCAGUGGCGAAGGCGGCGAUCUGGGUCGAUACUGACGCUGAGGUGCGAAAGCGUGGGGAGCAAACAGG
rnacentral:rRNA from 1 species